rnacentral:rRNA from 1 species
CAGCAGCCACGGUAAUACGAAGGGUGCAAGCGUUAAUCGGAAUUACUGGGCGUAAAGCGUGCGUAGGCGGUGAGUUAAGUCUGCUGUGAAAUCCCCGGGUUCAACCUGGGAAUGGCAGUGGAUACUGGCUCGCUAGAGUGUGUCAGAGGAUGGUGGAAUUCCCGGUGUAGCGGUGAAAUGCGUAGAGAUCGGGAGGAACAUCAGUGGCGAAGGCGGCCAUCUGGGACAACACUGACGCUGAGGCACGAAAGCGUGGGGAGCAAUCAGGAUUAGAUACCCCCGUAGUCCCUGUCUCUUAUAC